GGCAGUCUAAUACAUGCAAGUCGAACGGUUGGUAGCAAUACCAAUAGUGGCGCACGGGUGCGUAACGCGUAACCAACCUACCCGAAUCUGGGGGAUAGCCCGCCGAAAGGCGGAUUAAUACCGCAUAAAACUGCAGCCUGGCAUCAGGUAACAGUUAAAGAUUUAUUGGAUUCGGAUGGGGUUGCGUGCCAUUAGCUAGUUGGCGGGGUAACGGCCCACCAAGGCGACGAUGGCUAGGGGAGCUGAGAGGCUGGUCCCCCACACGGGCACUGAGAUACGGGCCCGACUCCUACGGGAGGCAGCAGUAGGGAAUAUUGGGCAAUGGUCGAGAGACUGUCCCAGCCAUGCCGCGUGCAGGAUGAAGGCUUUCUGAGUCGUAAACUGCUUUUAUCGGGGAAGAAAAAAGGGGAUGCGUCCUCUUUUGACGGUACCCGAUGAAUAAGCACCGGCUAACUCCGUGCCAGCAGCCGCG
rnacentral:rRNA from 1 species